GAUCAAGAGUCCCGGCGCGAAGCUCUGGCUGGCCGGGCGGCAACCCUCUCCCGUAGUGGGGUGCCCCAGAUGAAGAUCCGGCCGCGGUGGCCAUCCGCGGCAAGUACGGCGC
rfam:Sinomonas sp. R1AF57 chromosome.